rnacentral:sRNA from 1 species
UUUUUUUGAUUUUUUUUU